UCAAAGAGAAAUAAUCCUGUUUAAUGUUAAAUCAGUUCAAUUAUCUAUUAUAGUCUUUCUAAAGUAAAGAAUUAUACAAAAAAAAGUAUUCAAAACGUUGUACUUUUUCAUUGUUCUUAAAUCAGAUCAAAGAGAUUCUUUUCAAUUAUAAGAUACAAACUGCACUUAACGCGAAAUAUUGACCUUUUCAAUUAUACGAUACAAACCGCACAACACAAAAUUUUGACAAUCUUAUCUUAUAAAAUGCAGACGUUACUUUAAAAAUGAAGAUGAUUACGUGUGUCUCUAGGUCAAUCUAGUCAUGCAUGUUAAAGUAGAAAAUAUCUACGAGAUGACCAUAGUCGCUCGAGAUGAAUCAUAAUCCUUCGAGAUGAACCAUAGUCGUACGAGAUUAAUUAUAGUCGUUCGAGAUGAACCGUAGUCGUUCUACCACUAAAGGAGGCCACUGAAGGUAAAUGGUUGACGCCUACCAAGACAUAAUGUGACAGAAGAAACAUUUGGAUAUAUAUCAGCGGUUCUCAACCUUUUAUGCUCGGCGACCCCUUUUUACAAUUCCCCAAUCUGCAUCGACCCCCCA